rnacentral:rRNA from 1 species
CCUACGGGUGGCAGCAGUGGGGAAUAUUGGGCAAUGGGCGCAAGCCUGACCCAGCAACGCCGCGUGAAGGAAGAAGGCUUUCGGGUUGUAAACUUCUUUUCUGAGGGACGAAGAACGUGACGGUACCUCAGGAAUAAGCCCCGGCUAACUACGUGCCAGCAGCCGCGGUAAUACGUAGGGGGCAAGCGUUAUCCGGAAUUACUGGGUGUAAAGGGUGAGUAGGCGGCAUGGUAAGCCAGAGGUGAAAGCCUUGGGCUUAACCCCGGCCCGCCGUUGAAACUGGCAGUCUCGAGUUGGAGAGAAGUAGGCGGAAUGCGCGGUGUAGCGGUGAAAUGCAUAGAUAUCGCGCAGAACUACGAUUGCGAAGGCAGCAUGCCGGCUCCACACUGACGCUGAGGCACGAAAGCGUGGGUAUCGAACAGGAUUAGAUACCCUAGUAGUC